UGCAUCGGCCGGGAAUCGAACCCUGGCAGCCCGCGUGGCAGGCGAGCAUUCUACCACUGAACCACCGAUGC
rnacentral:tRNA from 1 species